UACGAAGGGGGCGAGCGUUGUUCGGAUUUACUGGGCGUAAAGCGCACGUAGGCGGAUUGCUAAGUCAGGGGUGAAAUCCUGGAGCUCAACUCCAGAACUGCCUUUGAUACUGGCGAUCUUGAGUCCGGGAGAGGUGAGUGGAACUGCGAGUGUAGAGGUGAAAUUCGUAGAUAUUCGCAAGAACACCAGUGGCGAAGGCGGCUCACUGGCCCGGUACUGACGCUGAGGUGCGAAAGCGUGGGGAGCAAACAGG
rnacentral:rRNA from 1 species